rnacentral:rRNA from 1 species
AGAGCGAACGCUGGCGGCAGGCCUAACACAUGCAAGUCGAGCGCCCGUAGCAAUACGGGAGCGGGCAGACGGGAUAGUAACACGUGGGAACGCGCCCUUCGGUUCGGAAUAACUCAGGGAAACUUGAGCUAAUACCGGAUACGCCCUUACGGGGAAAGAUUUAUUGCCGAAGGAACGGCCCGCGUCCGAUUAGCUAGUUGGUGAGGUAAUGGCUCACCAAGGCGACGAUCGGUAGCUGGUCUGAGAGGAUGACCAGCAUCACUGGGACUGAGACACGGCCCAGACUCCUACGGGAGGCAGCAGUGGGGAAUAUUGGACAAUGGGCGCAAGCCUGAUCCAGCCAUGCCGCGUGGAUGAUGAAGGCCCUAGGGUUGUAAAGUCCGUUUUAACGGGGAAGAUAAUGACGGUACCCGUAGAAUAAGCCCCGGCUAACGUUCGUGCCAGCAGCCGC